CCAAAUGUUGAAACAUCUGGCUAUAUUCUACCGCCCUUUCAGGGCA
rnacentral:sRNA from 1 species